rnacentral:tRNA from 1 species
GCACUAGUGGCCUAGUGCUAGAAUAGUACCCUGCCACGGUACAGACCCGGGUUCGAUUCCCGGCUGGUGCA